rnacentral:tRNA from 51 species
GGAGGGAUUCCCGAGCGGCCAAAGGGAGCAGACUGUAAAUCUGCCGUCUUCGACUUCGAAGGUUCGAAUCCUUCUCCCUCCACCA